GCGCUUCAGCAGCACAUGGACUUACGUGGAAGGAUGCAGAGAGGAUUAGCGCCAUCCCUGCGCAAGGGUGACACACAGGUUCACGAAGCGUGUCCGAACAUU